rnacentral:rRNA from 1 species
GAUGAACCGGUUUCGGCCGGGGAUUAGUGGCGAACGGGUGAGUAACACGUGGGCAAUCUGCCCUGCACUCUGGGAUAAGCCCGGGAAACUGGGUCUAAUACCGGAUACGACACAUGAGCGCAUGCUCGUGUGUGGAAAGUUCCGGCGGUGCAGGAUGAGCCCGCGGCCUAUCAGUUUGUUGGUGGGGUAGUGGCCUACCAAGACGACGACGGGUAGCCGGCCUGAGAGGGUGACCGGCCACACUGGGACUGAGACACGGCCCAGACUCCUACGGGAGGCAGCAGUGGGGAAUAUUGCACAAUGGGCGAAAGCCUGAUGCAGCGACGCCGCGUGAGGGAUGACGGCCUUCGGGUUGUAAACCUCUUUCAGCAGGGAAGAAGCGAAAGUGACGGUACCUGCAGAAGAAGCACCGGCUAACUACGUGCCAGCAGCCGCGGUAAUACGUAGGGUGCAAGCGUUGUCCGGAAUUAUUGGGCGUAAAGAGCUCGUAGGCGGCCUGUCGCGUCGAUUGUGAAAGCCCAGGGCUUAACCCUGGGUCUGCAGUCGAUACGGGCAGGCUAGAGUUCGGUAGGGGAGAUCGGAAUUCCUGGUGUAGCGGUGAAAUGCGCAGAUAUCAGGAGGAACACCGGUGGCGAAGGCGGAUCUCUGGGCCGAUACUGACGCUGAGGAGCGAAAGCGUGGGGAGCGAACAGGAUUAGAUACCCUGGUAGUCCACGCCGU